rnacentral:lncRNA from 1 species
GCAAGCUCCCUGGGUGAUUCAGUCUCCACCACCAGGGCACCGACCUUUACUCUGUGUUCUCCUAGCUCCCUGUGGGGAUGCUGUGCAAGACAUCUCUAUUGAGGAUGCUGAAUAUGACAUCUGUAAUGAGGACACUGUACGAGACGUCUCUAAUGAGGAUGCUGUAGAAGACAUCUCUAAUGAUGACGCUGUAUACGACAUCGCUAAUGAGGACGCUGUAUAUGACAUCGCUAAUGAGGAUGCUGUACAAUACAUCUCUAAAAAAGAAGAUGCUGCCACUGAUCCAUUUGUACUGGAGAAUGGUAUGUACCCUGAAAUAACUCACUUCCUGAGGGAAAAAUGCUGUCUCUAGGGUACAGAAACCUGAUUCUGGGCUCUGUUUGGGAAGGAGGAUUCCCAAAUCAUUGCUCUGAUGAGAGCAAAUGAUUUUGCAAGUAUAAAACAAUGUUCAGAGAGGCUGUAGGGACACCUGUGAGCCCAGAGGAACCACCAGGGGAUCCUGUGUGAAGCACCGGGGCUUCAGCUGGGGUCAGAGGAGUGGGUGGGCCUCUCUCUAAUGACUUAUCCUGAUGUUUGUGUUUGAAAGAUCUGUUUUUGGAGAGCAUAUCCAAUGAUGAGGAUUUGUAGGUAGGUAACUACUUUCCAUGUAAGAUUCAAUGGGAGAGAGUUCCCAGGGGCCUUCAGGGUAUCCAUUUGCUUGGGAGGUUGAGGGAGGGGGCAUGAAAUCAAAAAGAAAAAGGAAAUAUGUGUCAAAUUGGAUUUGGUCUUUUCCAAGUUUCUUGCCAUAAUAUAAGAACUGUCUCUCUGGGCUGUGAGGGUGCUGUGUGAUUUAAAGGUGAUCUUUCCCAAAACACCUGGCCUUUUCUCUUCUGCCUCUGCCAAACAUCACAGCCUUUGGGUUGGACUAGUCAGCACUGCUUGGGAUUGUGCAGAAGAGGUUUGGGGUUGCAUCAAGUGUUGCCUGUGGCGAACAGAAUCUGAGGACACAACUCCCUCACAGGCACUUACUUGAACCUGGAGACAAAGUUCUCCUGGUGUGUGCCCAGGGGUGCAGGAGAAAUUGAUGGUCGUCCUCUGAACUUUUAGGACUUUAAAAAGCAUUCAUGUUUCCAUCCUCACUGUUGACUCCUGGCUUAAAAGGAUCUCCCAGGGUGAGUGAAGAGGCGGGAUCAGACCCUGGCAGUCUGAUGGCAACACCUGUGUUCCUCUGCGCUGGGCCUUGGACGACAUUACACACCUUGGUGAGAAUCAGGAAUUGCACACCUUUGUGAGAAUCUGCAUCUGGAAUUGAGAUGGGCCUUGAGUCAUAUAAUUAGUUUGGAAAAGGUGCAUUUUACUACCCUAUUGAAAGA